rnacentral:rRNA from 1 species
UACGAAGGGGGCUAGCGUUGCUCGGAAUUACUGGGCGUAAAGGGAGCGUAGGCGGACAUUUAAGUCAGGGGUGAAAUCCCGGGGCUCAACCUCAGAAUUGCCUUUGAUACUGGGUGUCUUGAGUAUGAGAGAGGUGUGUGGAACUCCGAGUGUAGAGGUGAAAUUCGUAGAUAUUCGGAAGAACACCAGUGGCGAAGGCGACACACUGGCUCAUUACUGACGCUGAGGCUCGAAAGCGUGGGGAGCAAACAGG